rnacentral:rRNA from 1 species
UGUAAGAAUAUAUGGUCGAACAGACCAAAUUUUUAAACUUCUACACCUAAAAAUUAUCUUAAUCCAACAUCGAGGUCGCAAUCUCUUUUGUCGAUAUGUUCUCUCAAAAAAUAUUACGCUGUUAUCCCUUAAGUAACUUAAUCUUUUAAUCAUUAUUUAUGGAUCAUUUCAUUUAUUAAUGAAAAAAAGUUCUAUAAAUUUUCCUAUCACCCCAAUAAAAUAUUAUAUAAAGCUUUAAAGGGUCUUCUCGUCCUCCAAAAAUAUUUAAGCUUUUUUACUUAAAAAUUAAAUUCUACAACAAUUAUAUUAAGACAGUUAAUAUUUCAUUCAAUCAUUCAUUCCAGCUUCUAAUUAAGAAACUAUUGAUUAUGCUACCUUUGCACAGUCAAAAUACUGCGGCCUUUUUCAAUGGGCAGAUUAGACUUUAAAUU